rnacentral:misc_RNA from 1 species
GAUGAAGAACGCAGCGAAAUGCGAUAAGUAAUGUGAAUUGCAGAAUUCAGUGAAUCAUCGAAUCUUUGAACGCACAUUGCGCCCGCCAGUAUUCUGGCGGGCAUGCCUGUCUGAGCGUCAUUUCAACCCUCAUGCCCCUAGGGCGUGGUGUUGGGGAUCGGCCAAAGCCCGCGAGGGACGGCCGGCCCCUAAAUCUAGUGGCGGUCUCGCUGUAGCUUCCUCUGCGUAGUAGCACACCUCGCACUGGGAAACAGCGCGGCCACGCCGUUAAACCCCCAACUUCUGAACGUUUGACCUCGGAUCAGGUAGGAAUACCCGCUGAACUUAAGCAUAUCAAUAAGCGGAGGA